rnacentral:rRNA from 1 species
CUACGUGCCAGCAGCCGCGGUAAUACGUAGGUGGCGAGCGUUGUCCGGAUUUAUUGGGCGUAAAGGGAGUGUAGGCGGUCUUUUAAGUCUGAUGUGAAAGCCCACGGCUCAACCGUGGAGGGUCAUUGGAAACUGGGAGACUUGAGUGCAGAAGAGGAGAGCGGAAUUCCAUGUGUAGCGGUGAAAUGCGUAGAUAUAUGGAGGAACACCAGUGGCGAAGGCGGCCCCCUGGACAAAGACUGACGCUCAGGUGCGAAAGCGUGGGGAGCAAACAGGAUUAGAUACCCUGGUAGUCCACGCCGUAAACGAUGUCGACUUGGAGGUUGUGCCCUUGAGGCGUGGCUUCCGGAGCUAACGCGUUAAGUCGACCGCCUGGGGAGUACGGCCGCAAGGUUAAAACUCAAAUGAAUUGACGGGGGCCCGCACAAGCGGUGGAGCAUGUGGUUUAAUUCGAUGCAACGCGAAGAACCUUACCUACUCUUGACAUCCAGA